CCCUUAGAUGUUCUGGGCCGCACGCGCGCUACACUGACGAAGUCAGCGAGCAUGUCCUACGCCGACAGGUGCGGGGAAUCUUGUCAAACUUCGUCGUGAUGGGGAUUGAUUAUUGAAAUUCUUGAUCAUCAACGAGGAAUUCCUAGUAAGCGCAAGUCAGCAGCUUGCGUUGAUUACGUCCCUGCCCUUUGUACACACCGCCCGUCGCUACUACCGAUUGAAUGGUUUAGUGAGAUCUUCGGAUUGGCGCCACUGCGGCCCAGCAAUGGGCUCGGUGGGUGCCGAAAAGUUGAUCAAACUUGAUCAUUUAGAGGAAGUAAAAGUCGUAACA
rnacentral:rRNA from 1 species